GGUGGUGCAGUGGUUAAGCAUUUGGCUGCUAACCAAAAAGUUGGUGGUUUGAAUCCACCCACCACUC
rnacentral:tRNA from 1 species